AUUAACAAUGAUGAAGAAAUCCCAAGCAUAGAGGUGCCUAGAUGAAAUUCCAAAACAUAAUCCUCCAAUUGAUAACCCCCAAUAACAAAUGGAUCCCUUUGACUGCAGGAUUUCUAAGGUAUUAUAGCAGACAUUAUUGCUGCAUCCGGUUUUAGGCAAACCGGUGAAGCAGUCUCCAAAUGCAUGGGGACUUGGCAAUAAUGUCUGUGUAGUGUUGUGUUGUGUAGUGUUGAACGAGCUCCAAAUGCAUCCGGUUUUAGACAGGAAGAGAAAAGAAACUAAAAUCCUGUCUCGUCUAGUGUAAUGUUGAAUGAGCUCACUGCGUACCUAAUAUGUCUUAGAGAUCAGAAUAACGUGUGCUAACAUUAUAUUGAUGUUAAUUCAGUGAGUUUAAAUUACAUGAAUGGUAAGUUGGAAGUUUGAAUCUGAACAUCAUUUUUUAGUAUUUUUGGUUUGGUUUUUCUGACAGUUGGACCAUUUCCAUGAGUUGUAAGAUUUCAGAAAAUUCUUUUAUGUACAUCUUUGAUCCCAUCUAAAUCAACUAUUUUUGCAUUUUUCCACUCGCUUACUUGUUCCUUAUCCCUUUGGCUCCAAUCUGACUCACCUCAUGCUCCAAACACAACUUAUCCCUUGUAUAGCUCUUAUCAAGAUUACACAAGAAUCAUGAUUUACACGUGGAAAUGCUGUUUUUAAAAUAAAAUAAUGUAUAAAAAAUACCGUCGUCCUCUUUUCUUAUCUGAAAAACUGCCUUUUCAAAGUGUAUUCAUGAAGAGAAUUACUCUGCUUUAAUAUAGCUGUUACACUAGUGAACACACCAAUUUAACGUGCAUUUUUUUUUUUUUUUUUGACAGCCAUCAAAAGGGAUCAACAUUGGAUUAACAAAAAUAAAGAUUACAAAUAAGCAAUGUAAGCUGAACACAAGAGGCCAUUACAAAACUGAAUCCCUCUUCCAAGCUCUAUUUUCGUGGCAGGGUCCAUUCCAAGUUUUGUAACCUUGCUAGUAGAAUCACGAUCAAACAGUUGAUGACAAAUUUGGAGACAAGGUCUCAAUUUGUCAAUCCAAUAAACUGGAUAAGAAAAAAGUCAAAAAUUUGUUAUCUUACACAAUUCUGUUGAGUAGUGUGUAGCAAGCAUUCCUCGCAACUCCAGGCCAAUCAAGAAAUCUCUUUAGGCAGUUUGAAAUCAGAGCACUUUCUCUGUUCCAUUAACAAUGAUGAAGAAAUCCCAAGCAUAGAGGUGCCUAGAUGAAAUUCCAAAACAUAAUCUUCCAAUUGAUAACCCCCAAUAACAAAUGGAUCCCUUUGAUUCAAUCCUCCAUCCAAGAAACCUAAACACAUAACUUCCUCACUAACUUGCACCAUUGAAUUCCUCCCAUAGAUCCUCCACUUCACCAUCUCACUUUGCAAAACAAGAUCAAUAAUUGGCACAUUGGGCCCCAUUCUUGAAUUUUCAACCCCUUUUGAACAAAAACAUACCCCAAAUGGUGCCACAGGAGCCACACUUGAUAUGUUCAAGGAAGUGGCAGCCUUAAUAUAAGCAUCAACAAAUGUGCCAUAAAUUUUGCUCUGCACAGUGGUGUAAGGUACAGUUGUGCUUAUUUUUGCCCCUCCAAUAUUUUCUUGAUUCAUAGACAAUUUCUUACCAGAAAUCUUGAUGGACUUAACAUUAAUCUUGUACUCUUCUCCUGCCCCACCUGGCUUGGAAAUUAAGGUUGUAUAAACCAUUGAUCUUGAAAUCUCCCCACCCAAAAGUGACACAUCAGAACUCUCAGCCAAUGAAAUUAAACCAUCUGAUGAGGAUAAACACAGAGAAAAUGUCCUCUGAAAAAAUCCAAAUGUACCAGCAAUUUGUGUUGGCAGUGAAAUUCUUGUGUUUCCUAACCCUAAAACCCCUUUUGCACCAUUGGCGAGGCCUUCUAGUAACAAUUUUGGUACACAUGAAAACAAGAAGUUAUCAAUGGAGGCCAUAAAACCAGAAUUCACCCCAUCUUCAAACUCCAUAGAAAUUCUAUCUUGAGCCAAAUUUCCUGAUGUAACCAUUCUUGAAAUGGGGUUUUCUGAUUGAAGAGUACAACGCUUGGUGCCAAAAGACAUGGUACAAGCACUGGAUUUUGCCAUUGAACACUCAAUUGAGCAACUUUUUAUGGGAUUUUGAGAUUUAGACAGAGGAGUAUAAGCACAAUCAACCCACAAAUAUGGACCAUUAACAUCAACCACAAGCUUAACUGGGGCAAGUUUUUCACCCAGUAAAACUUGAGUCACAUACUGAAGAGUUAAAGGAUCUUUUGACACUGGAAUAAUAGCUGCUUUGGGUAAUACGGGUUCUUGAGAAACCGAAAAAUUAAAGAGGAAAAUGAGUGAAAAAACAAGAAAGAAAUGUACAGAGCAAGCCAUGGAAGAAAAAUUGUAGCUAGGAAGACAGGUAGAUC
rnacentral:lncRNA from 1 species